UCGAAAAGAAAAACAAAAACAACAACAACUGAACAUGGCGUCCACACCAAAAAGAAAGAAAAAAACAGGAAAAAAGAAGAAAAGGCAGGAAGACGUUGUUGGCUUCUUGCACAGUGUGUCUCCGUUGAAGAAAGUUCCAAACCCACAAAAAGUACAAGUAAAGUUUCAAUGCUGUACAGUACACACUGACUAGUACAGACAAGCAACGGUGGGUUGCAAAGUGGCUACAGAAGACAAUUAAUUGAGAGAGCCAAUGGUAUAAUAACCAAGAAUAUCUUGCAAGUUGGACAUGAGGCAAAACAGGCAAUACUUGAUGUAUAAUUCAGAGACUUUUAGUUGAUGAACUGGUGGGUUACAAAGUGGCUACGUAAGACAAUAAGAGAGAACCAAGAAUAUCUUGAAAGUUGGACAUGAAGCCAGACAGAAAUUCAGAGACUUUAUCCAGUUGAUAAUCUGGU